rnacentral:rRNA from 1 species
CCAAUAGCGUAUAUUAAAGUUGUUGCAGUUAAAAAGCUCGUAGUUGAAUUUCGAGAUCAAAUUGUUGGUCGUGCCUCGGUACGUACUGGCAUUAUUGAUUUCUCCCUUCUGAAGAACCACGAUGUCAUUAAUUUGGUGUCGUGGGGAAUCAGGACUGUUACUUUGAAAAAAUUAGAGUGUUUAAAGCAGGCUCACGCUUG